rnacentral:rRNA from 1 species
UUGACAUCCAGAGAACUUAGCAGAGAUGCUUUGUGGCCUUCGGGAACUCUGAGACAGGUGCUGCAUGGCUGUCGUCAGCUCGUGUUGUGAAAUGUUGGGUUAAGUCCGCAACGAGCGCAACCCUUAUCCUUUGUUGCCAGCGGUUCGGCCGGGAACUCAAAGGAGACUGCCGGUGAUAAACCGGAGGAAGGUGGGGAUGACGUCAAGUCAUCAUGGCCCUUACGGCCAGGGCUACACACGUGCUACAAUGGCGCAUACAAAGAGAAGCGACCUCGCGAGAGCAAGCGGACCUCAUAAAGUGCGUCGUAGUCCGGAUUGGAGUCUGCAACUCGACUCCAUGAAGUCGGAAUCGCUAGUAAUCGUAGAUCAGAAUGCUACGGUGAAUACGUUCCCGGGCCUUGUACACACCGCCCGUCACACCAUGGGAGUGGGUUGCAAAAGAAGUAGGUAGCUUAACCUCCGGGAGGGCGCUUACCACUUUGUGAUUCAUGACUGGGGUGAAGUCGUAACAAGGUAGGCGUAGACGU